rnacentral:tRNA from 1 species
UCCCUGGUGGUCAAGUGGUUAAGACUCCAUACUCCCAAUGUAGGCAGCACAGGUUCAACCCUGGUUGGGGAA